rnacentral:RNase_P_RNA from 1 species
GAGGAAAGUCCGGGCUCCACAGGGCAGGGUGGUUGCUAACGGCAACCCGGGGUGACCCGCGGGACAGUGCCACAGAAAACAGACCGCCCGGCCACCGGCCGGGUAAGGGUGAAACGGUGGUGUAAGAGACCACCAGCGCCUCGGGUGACCGGGGCGGCUCGGUAAACCCCACCCGGAGCAAGGCCAAGAGGGAGCCGUGAGGUUCCUGCGCAGGCGUUCGAGGGCUGCCCGCCCGAUGCCUGCGGGUAGGCCGCUUGAGCCUGCCGGCGACGGCAGGCCCAGAUGGAUGGUCGCCCAUCGUCCGCCGCGAGGCGGACGUGGACAGAACCCGGCGUAG